UACGAAGGGGGCUAGCGUUACUCGGAUUGACUGGGCGUAAAGGGCGCGUAGGCGGUUUGUACAGUCAGACGUGGAAAUUCCUGGGCUCAACCUGGGGGCUGCGUUUGAUACGUGCGGACUUGAGUUCGGAAGAGGGUCGUGGAAUUCCCAGUGUAGAGGUGAAAUUCGUAGAUAUUGGGAAGAACACCGGUGGCGAAGGCGGCGACCUGGACGGACACUGACGCUGAGACGCGAAAAGCGUGGGGGAGC
rnacentral:rRNA from 1 species